rnacentral:tRNA from 1 species
GUUUUGAUAGCUUAAUUUAACAGAGCACGGCGUUGAAGGUGCUGAGGCGGGAGCCAUUCCCUCAGAACA